CUCUCCUUUCUUCCUGGUGAGCCUGGCCAGAGGUUUGCUGAUUCUGUUUACCCUUUCAAAAAAAUAGCUCUUGUUUCAAAUAAGAAUGAAAGA